rnacentral:rRNA from 1 species
AGGGGCCAUUCUACAUGAAAGUAGAGUACUUCUACUGAAAGGUUUAAGGAGUAGGCGCUACAACGCCGAAAUGACCUUCUCACCCUUGUGUUACUCACUAUGUUGCUUUGGCGGGUCGAGCUGGGUGCGACCCAGGCGGCCGGCGCCCCCAGCCUUAACUGGCCAGGACGCCCGGCUAAGUGCCCGCCAGUAUACAAAACUCAAGAAUUCAUUUUGUGAAGUCCUGAUAUAUCAUUUAAUUGAUUAAAACUUUCAACAACGGAUCUCUUGGUUCUGGCAUCGAUGAAGAACGCAGCGAAAUGCGAUGAGUAAUGUGAAUUGCAGAAUUCAGUGAAUCAUCGAAUCUUUGAACGCACAUUGCGCCCUCUGGUAUUCCGGAGGGCAUGCCUGUUCGAGCGGUCAUUUCAACCCUCAAGCUCUUGCGGGGGUAUUGGGCAACGUCCGCUGCCGGACGUCCCUGGAAGACCUCGGGGAACGCGUCCGAGCCUCAAGCGUAUUAUUAAAAUAUCUCGCUGGGGAGUGCGGGGGACGGCGGCCGGAGAUCGAGCCUCGGUCUAUUGUGCAAGGGUGGACCUCGAAUCAGGUAGGGUUCCCGGUGAAAUGAAGC